rnacentral:sRNA from 1 species
AAGACGUAACCUGUACGUUCGGGAGAUGGUUUUACUUCAAUUCUUGGAUUACCGGGAGGAGUAGGAAGAGUAUACGACGACGGAUAUUUAUUGAGCAAUUCCGGCUUGUUGGGCACUUCCGGCAUUUUACCGCCUGCGGUUGUUUUGUCAUCCUUGAAAUCAUAUUCGAUCUUCCAACCUUGCAACACCAUCUCGGCCGUAAAGGUCACAUCGCCUUUCACAUCUACCGUAGUAUACCAGUUGGCAUUCCCCUCCGGUCCCGAUGUUGCGGGAACAGCCGCUUCACCGUCUUUCAGCGAAGUAAACCCGCCAUGUUUCCAGCCUUUAAACUUAUACGCAGCUCCUGACGGGGUUACCGUCACACCCGCGGCCGGUUUCGUACCAUAAUCAAUCACUUGAUCGUUUCCGUUGGUCAAUGCGCCUCCGGCUGCAGGAUCGACGGUGAAUUUAACCGUGCAAACGGCGCGCUGAUGAUACGUAGUAUCGGUUUGUGAAAUAUAUUCUUGCAACUCUCCACGCCUCAGACUUAAUUCACCGCUUUGAGGCUCCAGCAUAUCUUCCCAUUGAGUGGUUACUUUGGCGGUAUUUUUCAUGAUGUUCUGAUAAUACGCCUGAAUCAACGGGGUUUUCAGCUUCGCUUUAAAUGUUACGACUUUAUUCACUCCUCUGGGAACAUUUUCCAACGUCCAUUUAAUCAUACCGCUAUUCUCAACUCCGCCUUCGGUAAUAGAGCCGGGAACCACUUCAAGUCCUUCGGGAAGCUUAUCCUCAAUGAUCAGAGUGGAAAGAGGUUCACCCUGUGCCCGUAAUCCCAUACGGGCGGAAGACAUCGCUUGACCUCCUCCCUCUUCCUGUGGGGCCGCAUUAACCGCUUCGAUUUUAUAUUCGAUGAUAUCCCCAAGAAGCACUUUCACAGGCGCGGCCAAUGUCCCGUUAUUGACCCCACCAUCAUUCACAGAAGCACUUUUCGUACUUUCAAAGCCGAAAUAUGCCUUGUCAUAUCUACUACAUAUCCUCGGCUCAUCCUUUCUUGUUUGAAUAGAUAUGCUACUCGGCUGUAAAUCCGGAUCUGAAUUGAUAUAGUUACAUACCUGAAUCUCUAAUUCACCGCCUUUAUACUCAUUGCUGAACUUGUACUGUAUACUUCUUAAAAAAGUUUGCGCAUCGGAGGCCGAUACGCCGGAUUCAUUUUCAAGAAAAGAACCAUAAGGACUGUACCCUAACGGUUUCGACUUCCAUCCGGCAGGAAGUCGAUAAGUAGCAGUACCCUGUUUAAAAUCAAUGGAUACAGACCUGAUUCGAAGUCCGUCACUUGCAACAACACUUAAGCUGGGGAAAGUGUAAUACACCCCCGCACCGUCCUUAUGCUUGACGGCAUUACCUAAGUUUACCUUGAUACUUUGCGCAUGCGACAGCAUCACAAAGCCUAUCAAAAACAAAAAAAUAACAGAUAAUUUACCUCUCAUAAUUAAAUAUAUUUAAGUUAAUGGCCGCAAAGGUACACCCGCCAAGUAUCUUAUGCAAAUCCACCGUAUUAAAAAACACAAAUAAUUAGUUAAAAUAUAUUUUAUUUUGUUUUAUUCAACACUAUUAUAUUAUCGGUCGUUUUCUUUACAGAGGCGCGCAUAGAUCAAGGGUCUCACUCUACCAUAACGCAGUGAUACAACAUACCAAAAAGCACAAAUACUAAACCACUAUUACACAUUUAC